GAUGAACGCUGGCGGCAUGCCUAACACAUGCAAGUCGAACGGAGCUAUUAGACGGAAGCCUUCGGGCGGAAGAUUAAUAGCUUAGUGGCGGACGGGUGAGUAACGCGUGAGUAACCUGCCUCUCAGAGGGGGAUAACGUUCUGAAAAGAACGCUAAUACCGCAUAUAAUCAAGAAACCGCAUGAUUUUUUGAUGAAAGGAGCAAUCCGCUGAGAGAUGGACUCGCGUCUGAUUAGCUAGAUGGUGGGGUAACGGCCUACCAUGGCGACGAUCAGUAGCCGGACUGAGAGGUUGAACGGCCACAUUGGGACUGAGACACGGCCCAGACUCCUACGGGAGGCAGCAGUGGGGGAUAUUGCGCAAUGGGGGGAACCCUGACGCAGCAAUGCCGCGUGAAGGAAGAAGGUUUUCGGAUUGUAAACUUCUUUUGUUAAGGA
rnacentral:rRNA from 1 species